AUUAAGGUGCCUGAUUAAAGGGAUAUUUUGAUAGAAUAUAUAAAGUAAAUUUUAAUUUUAUUCUUAAUU
rnacentral:tRNA from 1 species